GAUGAACGCUGGCGGCGUGCCUAAUACAUGCAAGUCGAGCGAACAGACGAGGAGCUUGCUCCUCUGACGUUAGCGGCGGACGGGUGAGUAACACGUGGAUAACCUACCUAUAAGACUGGGAUAACUUCGGGAAACCGGAGCUAAUACCGGAUAAUAUAUUGAACCGCAGGGUUCAAUAGUGAAAGACGGUUUUGCUGUCACUUAUAGAUGGAUCCGCGCCGCAUUAGCUAGUUGGUAAGGUAACGGCUUACCAAGGCGACGAUGCGUAGCCGACCUGAGAGGGUGAUCGGCCACACUGGAACUGAGACACGGUCCAGACUCCUACGGGAGGCAGCAGUAGGGAAUCUUCCGCAAUGGGCGAAAGCCUGACGGAGCAACGCCGCGUGAGUGAUGAAGGUCUUCGGAUCGUAAAACUCUGUUAUUAGGGAAGAACAAAUGUGUGAGUAACUAUGCACGUCUUGACGGUACCUAAUCAGAAAGCCACGGCUAACUACGUG
rnacentral:rRNA from 1 species